GGAGUAUGGUACGAUGGCUUUUCCAUGACAUCAGUCUGAGCUCAUAGGAACAUGGAAAAGGAAUAUCUUAAGCCUAAAGGAAAAGACUGGGGUCUUCAUUCUUGAUUCAGCCUGAGCCACCAAAGAGAUUCCCUGCAUUGUGUUAACAGACAGAUGAGCCACCAGAGGGAGUCCAAGAGAUCUCCAAGAACUGCAGGAUAAACAGAUCAGCUUUUGGC